AUUGAACGCUGGCGGCAGGCCUAACACAUGCAAGUCGAGCGGAUGAAGGGAGCUUGCUCCUGGCUUCAGCGGCGGACGGGCGAGUAAUGCCUAGGAAUCUGCCUGGUCGUGGGGGAUAACGUCCGGAAACGGGCGCUAAUACCGCAUACGUCCUGAGGGUGAAAGUGGGGGAUCUUCGGACCUCACGCUAUCAGAUGAGCCUAGGUCGGAUUAGCUAGUUGGUGGGGUAAAGGCCUACCAAGGCGACGAUCCGUAACUGGUCUGAGAGGAUGAUCAGUCACACUGGAACUGAGACACGGUCCAGACUCCUACGGGAGGCAGCAGUGGGGAAUAUUGGGCAAUGGGCGAAAGCCUGAUCCAGCCAUGCCGCGUGUGUGAAGAAGGUCUUCGGAUUGUAAAGCACUUUAAGUUGGGAGGAAGGGCAGUAAGUUAAUACCUUGCUGUUUUGACGUUACCAACAGAAUAAGCACCGGCUAACUUCGUG
rnacentral:rRNA from 1 species